rnacentral:rRNA from 1 species
GACGAACGCUGGCGGCGUGCUUAACACAUGCAGGUCGAACGGAAAGGCCCCCACCUUGGUGGGGGUGCUCGAGUGGCGAACGGGUGAGUAACACGUGGGUGAUCUGCCCUGUACUUCGGGAUAAGCUUGGGAAACUGGGUCUAAUACCGGAUAGGACCAUGGUUUAGUGUCUCAUGGUGGAAAAAUUAUUGUUUUGGUGCAGGAUGAGCUCGCGGCCUAUCAGCUUGUUGGUGGGGUAAUGGCCUACCAAGGCGUCGACGGGUAGCCGGCCUGAGAGGGUGGACGGCCACAUUGGGACUGAGAUACGGCCCAGACUCCUACGGGAGGCAGCAGUGGGGAAUAUUGCACAAUGGGCGCAAGCCUGAUGCAGCGACGCCGCGUGGGGGAUGACGGCCGUCGGGUUGUAAACUCCUUUCGUUAGGGACGAAGCCACACCUUUUUUGGGUGUGGUGACGGUACCUUUGUGAAGAAGCACCGGCUAACUACGUG